CGCACUAGUCACUUUGUCUUUAUGGCAAAUGUGAGAUGCAGUGUAUGGAAUGUCAAAUUUCUAGUAUGAGAAAUUAACGAUUUAAGUCCUUCUUAAAUGAGGCCAUUUACCCAAAGAGGGUGCCAGGCCCGUAUAACGUUAAUGAUUACUAGAUGGCAUUUCCAAAGAGUCGUGUUGCUUGAUAGUGCAGCACUAAGUGGGUGGUAAACUCCAUCUAAAACUAAAUAUAACCAUGAGACCGAUAGUAAACAAGUACCGUGAGGGAAAGUUGAAAAGAACUCUGAAUAGAGAGUUAAAUAGUACGUGAAACUGCUUAGAGGUUAAGCCCGAUGAACCUGAAUAUCCAUUAUGGAAAAUUCAUCAUUAUGAUUUUAAUAUUUAUAAUAUUAUAAUAAUGGUGUGCAUUUUUUCUAUAAAGGACAUUGUAAUCUAUUAACAUAAAUUAAUUUAUCAUAAGAUCAUUUGCGUAAGUUUAUUCAAAUUAUUUUGCUUGCAAUUUAAUAUCGAAUAAAUGCUUUUGAUUUGAUAAAGUGUUGAUAGAUUUAUUAUAUACAGUGCUUAAAUAUUUAUAUUUUAUAAUAGCAUAUUAAUCAAUGAUUUUUAUGUUCAUUAUAUGCACUUGUAUGAUUAACAAUGCGAAAGAUUCAGGAUACCUUCGGGACCCGUCUUGAAACACGGACCAAGGAGUCUAACAUAUUUGCAAGUUAUUGGGAAUAAAAACCUAAUAGCGAAAUUAACAUAACUUAUUUAAUGGGAUUAGUUUUUAGCCUAUUUAUAGUCUAUUAAUUCAAUCCCGGGGCGUUCUAUAUAGUUAUGUAUAAUAAUAUUUAUAUUAUUUAUGCCUCUAACUAGAGCGUACCUUGAGCAUAUAUGCUGUGACCCGAAAGAUGGUGAACUAUACUUGAUCAGGUUGAAGUCAGGGGAAACCCUGAUGGAAGACCGAAACAGUUCUGACGUGCAAAUCGAUUGUCAGAAUUGAGUAUAGGGGCGAAAGACCAAUCGAACCAUCUAGUAGCUGGUUCCCUCCGAAGUUUCCCUCAGGAUAGCUGGUGCAUUUAAAAAUUAUGUAAAAUAAUCUUAUCUGGUAAAGCGAAUGAUUAGAGGCCUUAGGGUCGAAACGAUCUUAACCUAUUCUCAAACUUUAAAUGGGUAAGAACCUCACCUUUCUUGGUAUGAAGGUUGUGGUUGUGAUAUAAUGUGCCCAGUGGGCCACUUUUGGUAAGCAGAACUGGCGCUGUGGGAUGAACCAAACGUAAUGUUACGGUGCCCAAAUUAACAACUCAUGCAGAUACCAUGAAAGGCGUUGGUUGCUUAAAA
rnacentral:rRNA from 1 species